rnacentral:rRNA from 1 species
AGUGAACGCUGGCGGUAGGCCUAACACAUGCAAGUCGAACGGCAGCACAGUAAGAGCUUGCUCUUACGGGUGGCGAGUGGCGGACGGGUGAGGAAUACAUCGGAAUCUACUUUUUCGUGGGGGAUAACGUAGGGAAACUUACGCUAAUACCGCAUACGACCUACGGGUGAAAGCAGGGGAUCUUCGGACCUUGCGCGAUUGAAUGAGCCGAUGUCGGAUUAGCUAGUUGGCGGGGUAAAGGCCCACCAAGGCGACGAUGCGUAGCUGGUCUGAGAGGAUGAUCAGCCACACUGGAACUGAGACACGGUCCAGACUCCUACGGGAGGCAGCAGUGGGGAAUAUUGGACAAUGGGCGAAAGCCUGAUCCAGCCAUACCGCGUGGGUGAAGAAGGCCUUCGGGUUGUAAAGCCCUUUUGUUGGGAAAGAAAAGCAGCAGGUUAAUACCCCGCUGUUCUGACGGUACCCAAAGAAUAAGCACCGGCUAACUUCGUG